rnacentral:rRNA from 1 species
AUUGAACGCUGGCGGCAUGCCUUACACAUGCAAGUCGAACGGCAGCACGGGAGCAAUCCUGGUGGCGAGUGGCGAACGGGUGAGUAAUAUAUCGGCACGUGCCCAGUCGUGGGGGAUAACGCCGCGAACGCUGUGCUAAUACCGCAUACGCUCUACGGAUGAAAGCGGGGGAUCGCAAGACCUCGCGCGAUUGGAGCGGCAGCUAUCAGGUUAGCGAGUUGGUGGGGUAAAGGCCCACCAAGGCGACGAGCUGUAGCUGGUCUGAGAGGACGACCAGCCAAAGUGGAACUGAGGCACGGUCCAGACUCCUACGGGGGGGAGCAGUGGGGAAUUUUGGACAAUGGGCGCAAGCCUGAUCCAGCAAUGCGGCGUGCAGGAUGAAGGCCUUCGGGUUGUAAACUGCUUUUGUACGGAACGAAACGGCCCUUUCUAAUACAGGGGGCUAAUGACGGUACCGUAAGAAUAAGCACCGGCUAACUACGUGCCAGCAGCCGCGGUAA